rnacentral:misc_RNA from 1 species
GAUGAAGAACGCAGCGAAAUGCGAUAAGUAAUGUGAAUUGCAGAAUUCAGUGAAUCAUCGAAUCUUUGAACGCACAUUGCGCCCGCCAGUAUUCUGGCGGGCAUGCCUGUUCGAGCGUCAUUUCAACCAUCAAGCCCCAGGCUUGUGUUGGGGACCCGCGGCUGCCGCAGGCCCUGAAAACCAGUGGCGGGCUCGCUGUCACACCGGGCGUAGUAGAUUUUAUCUCGCUCAGGGCGUGCUGCGGGUUCCGGCCGUUAAAAAGCCUUUUUUACCCAAGGUUGACCUCGGAUCAGGUAGGAAGACCCGCUGAACUUAAGCAUAUCAAUAAGCGGAGGA